rnacentral:ncRNA from 2 species
GGGUGGGGUAGAGGCGCGGGGAUCCAAGAGUAUUAUCUGGGAAAUCGGGGAGAUUGAUGAUCAGGUAAGAAAGGGGACACCGCCGAAGCCGGUGCCUUCCUCAGGGCAUUGAGCUGGGCCGUCAGUGAAUAACUGCCGGACUGUCACCGUAUGUACCCUGACAUGCGGUGGAGAACUAUCUCACAA